UUGGAGAGAAUUCUCUUGGCAUGAUAAGAGGAAUUGAAGGCAAAAGUGCAUUGAUGCGAUCAUUCUUCGAGAAGAAAGUCGGCAAUGUUCUUGUAAAGAAAAGGCUACAGCGGUGCACCGGUUGGGAAAGACAUUGAUCAUCUUCUGUGUGGAUCACCAUUGGAGGACUUCUACUUUAGAGUUUCAUAGAAAUCACCUUCUUACCAUAUUGCUCAUUUUAUCAAGUGUAAGUUUCUAACUCUUUGCAUGCUUGG
rnacentral:lncRNA from 1 species